rnacentral:rRNA from 1 species
GAGACACACGGCGGGUGCUAACGUCCGUCGUGAAGAGGGAAACAACCCAGACCGCCAGCUAAGGUCCCAAAGUCAUGGUUAAGUGGGAAACGAUGUGGGAAGGCCCAGACAGCCAGGAUGUUGGCUUAGAAGCAGCCAUCAUUUAAAGAAAGCGUAAUAGCUCACUGGUCGAGUCGGCCUGCGCGGAAGAUGUAACGGGGCUAAACCAUGCACCGAAGCUGCGGCAGCGACACUAUGUGUUGUUGGGUAGGGGAGCGUUCUGUAAGCCUGUGAAGGUGUGCUGUGAGGCAUGCUGGAGGUAUCAGAAGUGCGAAUGCUGACAUAAGUAACGAUAAAGCGGGUGAAAAGCCCGCUCGCCGGAAGACCAAGGGUUCCUGUCCAACGUUAAUCGGGGCAGGGUGAGUCGACCCCUAAGGCGAGGCCGAAAGGCGUAGUCGAUGGGAAACAGGUUAAUAUUCCUGUACUUGGUGUUACUGCGAAGGGGGGACGGAGAAGGCUAUGUUGGCCGGGCGACGGUUGUCCCGGUUUAAGCGUGUAGGCUGGUUUUCCAGGCAAAUCCGGAAAAUCAAGGCUGAGGCGUGAUGACGAGGCACUACGGUGCUGAAGCAACAAAUGCCCUGCUUCCAGGAAAAGCCUCUAAGCAUCAGGUAACAUCAAAUCGUACCCCAAACCGACACAGGUGGUCAGGUAGAGAAUACCAAGGCGCUUGAGAGAACUCGGGUGAAGGAACUAGGCAAAAUGGUGCCGUAACUUCGGGAGAAGGCACGCUGAUAUGUAGGUGAAGCGACUUGCUCGUGGAGCUGAAAUCAGUCGAAGAUACCAGCUGGCUGCAACUGUUUAUUAAAAACACAGCACUGUGCAAACACGAAAGUGGACGUAUACGGUGUGACGCCUGCCCGGUGCCGGAAGGUUAAUUGAUGGGGUUAGCGCAAGCGAAGCUCUUGAUCGAAGCCCCGGUAAACGGCGGCCGUAACUAUAACGGUCCUAAGGUAGCGAAAUUCCUUGUCGGGUAAGUUCCGACCUGCACGAAUGGCGUAAUGAUGGCCAGGCUGUCUCCACCCGAGACUCAGUGAAAUUGAACUCGCUGUGAAGAUGCAGUGUACCCGCGGCAAGACGGAAAGACCCCGUGAACCUUUACUAUAGCUUGACACUGAACAUUGAGCCUUGAUGUGUAGGAUAGGUGGGAGGCUUUGAAGUGUGGACGCCAGUCUGCAUGGAGCCGACCUUGAAAUACCACCCUUUAAUGUUUGAUGUUCUAACGUUGACCCGUGAUCCGGGUUGCGGACAGUGUCUGGUGGGUAGUUUGACUGGGGCGGUCUCCUCCUAAAGAGUAACGGAGGAGCACGAAGGUUGGCUAAUCCUGGUCGGACAUCAGGAGGUUAGUGCAAUGGCAUAAGCCAGCUUGACUGCGAGCGUGACGGCGCGAGCAGGUGCGAAAGCAGGUCAUAGUGAUCCGGUGGUUCUGAAUGGAAGGGCCAUCGCUCAACGGAUAAAAGGUACUCCGGGGAUAACAGGCUGAUACCGCCCAAGAGUUCAUAUCGACGGCGGUGUUUGGCACCUCGAUGUCGGCUCAUCACAUCCUGGGGCUGAAGUAGGUCCCAAGGGUAUGGCUGUUCGCCAUUUAAAGUGGUACGCGAGCUGGGUUUAGAACGUCGUGAGACAGUUCGGUCCCUAUCUGCCGUGGGCGCUGGAGAACUGAGGGGGGCUGCUCCUAGUACGAGAGGACCGGAGUGGACGCAUCACUGGUGUUCGGGUUGUCAUGCCAAUGGCACUGCCCGGUAGCUAAAUGCGGAAGAGAUAAGUGCUGAAAGCAUCUAAGCACGAAACUUGCCCCGAGAUGAGUUCUCCCUGACCCUUUAAGGGUCCUGAAGGAACGUUGAAGACGACGACGUUGAUAGGCCGGGUGUGUAAGCGCAGCGAUGCGUUGAGCUAACCGGUACUAAUGAACCGUGAGGCUUAACCUU